GUUGCAUUGUGACCUUUAAGCUUUCUACCAUCUGAUAUCAUAAGAUAAUGACCCGAGCAACGAAAUUGUGAUAAUGAAAUCCUAUCAACUUGAAUAUCUAACUCUGUCAA